rnacentral:rRNA from 1 species
AGUGAACGCUGGCGGUAGGCCUAACACAUGCAAGUCGAACGGCAGCACAGUAAGAGCUUGCUCUUACGGGUGGCGAGUGGCGGACGGGUGAGGAAUACAUCGGAAUCUACUUUUUCGUGGGGGAUAACGUAGGGAAACUUACGCUAAUACCGCAUACGACCUACGGGUGAAAGCAGGGGAUCUUCGGACCUUGCGCGAUUGAAUGAGCCGAUGUCGGAUUAGCUAGUUGGCGGGGUAAAGGCCCACCAAGGCGACGAUCCGUAGCUGGUCUGAGAGGAUGAUCAGCCACACUGGAACUGAGACACGGUCCAGACUCCGACGGGAGGCAGCAGUGGGGAAUAUUGGACAAUGGGCGCAAGCCUGAUCCAGCCAUACCGCGUGGGUGAAGAAGGCCUUCGGGUUGUAAAGCCCUUUUGUUGGGAAAGAAAAGCAGCAGGUUAAUACCCCGCUGUCCGGACGGGACCCAAAGAAGAAGCACCGGCUAACUUCGU